GUACACUCCUGCGGGAGGCAGCAGUGGGGAAUUUUGGACAAUGGGCGAAAGCCUGAUCCAGCAAUGCCGCGUGAGUGAAGAAGGCCUUCGGGUUGUAAAGCUCUUUUGUCAGGGAAGAAACGGUGAAAGCUAAUAUCUUUUGCUAAUGACGGUACCUGAAGAAUAAGCACCGGCUAACUACGUGCCAGCAGCCGCGGUAAUACGUAGGGUGCAAGCGUUAAUCGGAAUUACUGGGCGUAAAGCGUGCGCAGGCGGUUUUGUAAGUCUGAUGUGAAAUCCCCGGGCUCAACCUGGGAAUUGCAUUGGAGACUGCAAGGCUAGAAUCUGGCAGAGGGGGGUAGAAUUCCACGUGUAGCAGUGAAAUGCGUAGAUAUGUGGAGGAACACCGAUGGCGAAGGCAGCCCCCUGGGUCAAGAUUGACGCUCAUGCACGAAAGCGUGGGGAGCAAACAGGAUUAGAUACCCGGUAGUCCCAUG
rnacentral:rRNA from 1 species